UAGGAUGGUGUUUCACCAUGUUGCCCAGGCUGGUCUCAAACUCUUGGGUUCAAGCAAAUCGCCUGCCUUGGCCUCCCGAAGUGCCGGGAUUACAGUCCCACCCUCUUAAAACCUUGAAAAUAAAGUUGCUUCCCAAAUGUUCACAUCUCUAGCCUGCCAGCUUUCCCAGAUAUUGAGGGAACAGAGAAACAACUGCUCCUUUGGCUUCUAAUUCCACCUGACGGUCGGCAUGGGUGCUGUGCAGGGCACCAGGAUGCAGAGCACUCUCAGCAAAAAUCACAGGAUAAAGCAGCAAAAGAAGCUCUCGGAUGUGUGUUCAGAGAUCCUGAAAUACAUACAAUAAUUGCUGCACUUUAAACCAUAAUCACAGGAUGAGUUUUAGUGCCUGUAAAUUGAGGAUACUCUCCAAAUAGCAUUGAGACAGGGACUCGCCAUGUUUCCCAGGCUGGUCUCCAACUCCUGGGCUGAAGCAAUCCACCUGCCAUGGCCUCCCAAAGUGCUGGGAUUACCGGUAUGAGCUACCACCUGGCCCGUUGGAAUCUGGAUAACUUGCUUCACCCAGUCUGCAGCUUUCUGCCUAAAUGCAUAUAGUGAAGUGGGAGGAGUGAAGAAGACAAUUAUGAGGAAAUGAAAGCUGACAAAUGAAAGGUGGAGAGUGAUAGAGAUGAAGCUGACCCAUUGCACAAACUGAAUGUGGAUCAGCCAACACUGACGUCAAUGCAUACUUAGUUGCCCACCAGCAAGAAAAGCUUUCUCAUCUAGUAACUGGCAAUAGCUAAGCGGCUCCCAAGAUUGCUGUGAAGAUGAAGUAAGUAUCUAGCAGAAUACCUGAAAACAGUGAGGGCUCAAUUAAAUGUGAGUCAUCACACUGUCUUCACCAGAGAGAACAACUUCACCAAUCUGAAUUUUUACCUGACUUCUAUAUAAUUAGAAGGACUUGAAGAUUAGAUACUAAAAAAAAAAAUAAAAACCAAAAAGACAAAACAAAAACCUAAGAUAUCACACAAUGACAUCAGAAACACUGAUUUGACCCACCUAUAUUUUAUGCCAGAAUUAUAAUAGACAUACUAUAGCCAGGCAAAACUUGGUUAUAAUGUCAAAGCAAUAUUCUGUGUUUUUUUCUUUGCAAGUUUCUUUGGUGUCUUACUUUGACAUUUUCUUUUGAGAUGUUAGUGACAGCACUUUGUAAUUCCUACAGCAUAUGAUUUACACACCUAUAACCUUUCUCUGCUGAAAAAAACUCCUAGAACACAUGUGCACGUAUGUUUCUUGUAGCACUAUUUACAAUAGCAAAGACUUGGAACCAACCCAAAUGCCUGUCAAUGAUAGACUGGAUACAGCAAAUGUGGCACAUAUACACAAUGGAAUACUAUGCAGCCAUAAAAAAGAAUGAGUUCAUGUCCUUUGCAGGGACAUGGAUGAAGCUGGAAACCAUCAUUCUCAGCAAACUAAAGGAAUAGAAAACCAAACACCACAUGUUCUCACUCAUAAGUGGGAGUUGAACAAUGAGAACACAUGGACACAGGGAGGGGAACAUCACACACGGGGGCCUCUUGGGGGAUGAGGGGAAGUGGGGAGGGAGAGCCUUAGGACAAAUACCUAAUGCAUGCAGGGCUUAAAACCUACAUGACGAGUUGAUAGGUGCAGCAAACCACCAUGGCACAUGUAUACCUAUGUAACAAACCUGCACAUUCAGCACAUGUAUCCCAGAACUCACAGUAAAAAAAAAAAAAAAAAAAAAAAAAGAAAAUUAAAAAAAAAAUAGUUCUCUUGGAAAAAAAAACAACAACUCCUAGAACUCCUUUGUGCUGUUGUUUUGGUAAAUAUUUUGUUUUGGUAAUAAGGAAAUGUAAAGGUGAAGCAGGAGUUUACCCCCUUCUUUCUACAGAGCUAAGGACUUAAAAAAAAAAAAAAAGACUUUCUCUGAAAAAGACAAUUUUAGGGCAGCCGAUGCUUUCAAGGAGCAUUAAACAAAAUAUCCCAGUGUAAGUUCAUUACAGAAGGUUGGCAAAAAAGAGUGAAAUAAAUGACACCAAAUGGAAGGGCCAAAAGCAGAGGAAGGGAAAAAAAUAAAUGGAAGUGAACACACAUAAACUAUGAAAGCAUUCUAAUUUUGUGCAUCACAUUUUCACAACAAAAAUGACAAAUUGAUACAAAUCUUUAUAUAUAUGUAUAUAUAUGUGAUAUAUAUACACACACACAUACACACACACAAAUAAAUAUAACAAAUUAACUUAAAAACAUUUUGUCUUAUUCAGGCAAUCCCAUUAGAAAAAAAAAUCAGAGACUACAGAAUGGAAAAUCCAUUACAUAUCCUGUAACAUAUGUAAUAUUGACAUUUAAAAUGAGUAAAAAUUAUUUGCCUUCCCCUAAUUGCCUAAGACAAAAACUAACGGGAAAUGGCGCAGAAACCAAUCAGUUCAAUGUACAAACAUGAGGGUUUUACCUUAUAUUUUAUACCAUAAUACAGCAAACCGAGGAAGCUACUUUGUCCCUAAACUUACCGAGUUCAAUGAGUAUCCAACCUAACAGGUCAAUUAAUAAUUUCUUGGUCAGUCCCUGUCAUCUGAAUGUCUCCCUGCUCUUCCUUUAACAAUCUUAGAACAAAACACCACCAUGUGUAACUUUGCUAAGCUUUUAACCCAUGCUCUUUCUCUUCAAAACCCAAGUCAAACAAAAUCUCCCUUACAUACCUUCAACCUCUACUGCUGCUGCUCUAGUUCAGACUCAUGUUUUCUUAAAUGGACUAUUGCACUAGAUUCCUUAUUAGUCUUCCUGUCUUCCACCUCACCCACAUCUCCCACCUAUCUUACUCUGCUGCCAGAGACAUAUUUCUGACAGGCAAAUCUAAUCAUGUUAUCCCAAUUCCACUUUACCCCCACCCAUGCCCUAUAAUUUUCAGUAGGCUAGACUCCCCAUUACCUACAGAAUAAACUAUAAAAUCUUUGACAUAGCAUUCAAGAUGUUUCAUAUUCUGGUCUUUACUUAUCUGCUCCCCCUGUACCAAUCCCGCAUGCCUACAGAUUUUACAUGUAACCAGUUUUGAAUUUACAGUUCCCCACCAUUCCAAUCUCUGUCUAUCUGCCUGCAACAUUCUGCUUCUGUUUAUCUUCCUGACAACCUUCUCUAACUUCUGUCUCAAGUCCAAGUUCAAGUAAUUCCUUCUUUGUGAAGCUUCCCUGGCUCUUCAGGUAGACUGCUUGUUCCCUCACCUAUA